rnacentral:rRNA from 1 species
UGGGGAAUUUUGGACAAUGGGCGGAAGCCUGAUCCAGCCAUGCCGCGUGAGUGAAGAAGGCCUUCGGGUUGUAAAGCUCUUUCGGUGGGGAAGAAAUGGCACUUUCUAAUACAGAGUGUUGAUGACGGUACCCGCAUAAGAAGCACCGGCUAACUACGUGCCAGCAGCCGCGGUAAUACGUAGGGUGCGAGCGUUAAUCGGAAUUACUGGGCGUAAAGCGUGCGCAGGCGGUUGUGUAAGUCAGAUGUGAAAUCCCCGGGCUCAACCUGGGAACUGCAUUUGAGACUGCACGGCUAGAGUGUGGCAGAGGGGGGUAGAAUUCCACGUGUAGCAGUGAAAUGCGUAGAGAUGUGGAGGAAUACCGAUGGCGAAGGCAGCCCCCUGGGCCCUUACUGACGCUCAUGCACGAAAGCGUGGGGAGCAAACA